rnacentral:rRNA from 1 species
GUAGGGAAUAUUGGGCAAUGGAUGGAAGUCUGACCCAGCCAUGCCGCGUGCCGGAUGAAGGCGCUCUGCGUUGUAAACGGCUUUUAUUCGGGAAGAAGAGUAGGGAUGCGUCCUUAUGUGACGGUACCGAAUGAAUAAGCACCGGCUAACUCCGUGCCAGCAGCCGCGGUAAUACGGAGGGUGCGAGCGUUGUCCGGCUUUAUGGGGUUUAAAGGGUGCGUAGGCUGGAAGGUCAGUCAGCGGUGAAAAGCUGUCGCUUAACGAUAGUCUUGCCGCAGAUACUUCCUUUCGUGGAUGAGGAGGAGGCCACUGGAACGGAUGGUGUAGCGGUGAAAUGCAUAGAUAUCAUCCAGAACACCGAUUGCGAAGGCAGGUGGCUGUACCUUAAUCGACGCUGAUGCACGAAAGCAUGGGGAGCAAACAGGAUUAGAUACCCGUGUAGUCC